CUGGUUUAAUAAAAUUACAUCUCUAGUUUAAUAAAAUACAUCCCUCCAUCUCUCCUCUAGUUUAAUAAAAUACGUCCCUCCAUCUCUCCUCUAGUUUAAUAAAAUGCAUCCCUCCUAGUUUAAUAAAAUACAUCCCUCCAUCUCUCCCCUAGUUUAAUAAAAUACAUCCCUCCAUCUGUCCUCUAGUUUAAUAAAAUACAUCUCUCCUCUAGUAGAAUAAAAUACAUCCCUCCAUCUCUCCUCUAGUAGAAUAAAAUACAUCUCUCCAUCUCUCCUCUAGUUUAAUAAAAUACAUCCCUCCAUCUCUCCUCUAGUUUAAUAAAAUACAUCUCUCCAUCUCUCCUCUAGUUUAAUAAAAUACAUCCCUCCAUCUCUCCUCUAGUUUAAUAAAAUACAUCUCUCCAUCUCUCCUCUAGUUUAAUAAAAUACAUCUCUCCAUCUCUCCUCUAGUUUAAUAAAAUACAUCCCUCCAUCUCUCCUCUAGUAGAAUAAAAUACAUCUCUCCAUCUCUCCUCUAGUUUAAUAAAAUACAUCUCUCCAUCUCUCCUCUAGUUUAAUAAAAUACAUCCCUCCAUCUCUCCUCUAGUAGAAUAAAAUACAUCUCUCCAUCUCUCCUCUAGUUUAAUAAAAUACAUCCCUCCACCUCUCUAGUUUAAUAAAAUACAUCCCUCCACCUCUAGUUUAAUAAAAUACAUCCCUCCACCUCUCCUCUAGUAGAAUAAAAUGCAUCCCUCCAUCUCUCCUCUAGUAGAAUAAAAUACAUCCCUCCACCUCUCUAGUUUAAUAAAAUACAUCUCUCCUCUAGUUUAAUAAAAUACAUCCCUCCAUCUCUCCUCCAGUAGAAUAAAAUACAUCCCUCCAUCUCUCCGCUAGUAGAAUAAAAUACAUCCCUCCAUCUCUCCUCUAGUAGAAUAAAAUACAUCCCUCUAGUAGAAUAAAAUACAUCUCUCCUCUAUAGAAUAAAAAUACAUCUCUCCUCUAGUAGAAUAAAAUACAUCUCUCCUCUA
ensembl:lncRNA